GAUGAACGCUAGCGGGAGGCCUAACACAUGCAAGCCGAGCGGUAUUGUUUCUUCGGAACUGAGAGAGCGGCGUACGGGUGCGGAACACGUGUGCAACCUGCCUUUAUCUGGGGGAUAGCCUUUCGAAAGGAAGAUUAAUACUCCAUAACAUAUUGAACGGCAUCGUUCGAUAUUGAAAGCUCCGGCGGAUAGAGAUGGGCACGCGCAAGAUUAGCUAGUUGGUGAGGUAACGGCUCACCAAGGCGAUGAUAUUUAGGGGGCCUGAGAGGGUGAUCCCCCACACUGGUACUGAGACACGGACCAGACUACUACGGGAGGCAGCAGUGAGGAAUAUUGGUCAAUGGGUGCAAGCCUGAACCAGCCAUCCCGCGUGAAGGACGACUGCCCUAUGGGUUGUAAACUUCUUUUGUAUAGGGAUAAACCUGCCCUCGUGAGGGUAGCUGAAGGUACUAUACGAAUAAGCACCGGCUAACUCCGUG
rnacentral:rRNA from 1 species